rnacentral:rRNA from 1 species
CUCACUGGUCGAGUGACCCCGCGCCGAAAAUGUACCGGGGCUAAACAUAUUACCGAAACUGUGGAUGAACCUCAUUAGAGGUUCGUGGUAGGAGAGCGUUCUAAGGGCGGUGAAGUCAGACCGGAAGGACUGGUGGAGCGCUUAGAAGUGAGAAUGCCGGUAUGAGUAGCGAAAGAAGGGUGAGAAUCCCUUCCACCGAAUAUCUAAGGUUUCCUGAGGAAGGCUCGUCCGCUCAGGGUUAGUCGGGACCUAAGCCGAGGCCGAUAGGCGUAGGCGAUGGACAACAGGUAGAGAUUCCUGUACCAGUGCUAAUUGUUUAACCGAUGGGGUGACACAGAAGGAUAGGGAAUCGCACGAAUGGAAAUGUGCGUCCAAGCAGUGAGUGUGAGAAGUAGGCAAAUCCGCUUCUCGCGAAGCAUGAGCUGUGAUGGGGAAGGA